rnacentral:rRNA from 1 species
AUUCCAGCUCCAAUAGCGUAUAUUAACGUUGUUGCAGUUAAAAAGCUCGUAGUUGGAUUUGUGGGUGCAGAUGCGGUUCCGAAAUGUUUUGGUGCUUCAUGUUGCAUCCAUCCUUGGGUGGAAUCUGUGUGGCAUUAGGUUGUCGUGCAGGGGAUGCCCAUCGUUUACUGUGAAAAAAUUAGAGUGUUCAAAGCAGGCUUACGCCGUUGAAUAUAUUAGCAUGGAAUAAUGAGAUAGGACCUUGGUACUAUUUUGUUGGUUUGCGCACCGAGGUAAUGAUUAAUAGGGACAGUUGGGGGUAUUCGUAUUCCAUUGUCAGAGGUGAAAUUCUUGGAUUUUUGGAAGACGAACUACUGCGAAAGCAUUUACCAAGGAUGUUUUC